rnacentral:rRNA from 1 species
CCUACGGGCGGCAGCAGUGGGGAAUAUUGGUCAAUGGAGGCAACUCUGACCCAGCAACGCCGCGUGAAUGAUGAAGGUCUUCGGAUUGGAAAGUUCUUUUCUACGGGAAGAAGAAAGUGACGGUACCUUAGGAAUAAGCCUCGGCUAACUACGGGCCAGCAGCCGCGGUAAUACGUAGGAGGCAAGCGUUAUCCGGAAUGACUGGGCGUAAAGGGUGCGUAGGUGGUUUGACAAGUUAGUAGCGCAACUCCGGGGCUCAACUUCGGAACUACUACUAAAACUGUCGGACUUGAGUGCAGGAGGGGCAAGCGGAAUUCCCGGUGUAGCGGUGGAAUGCGUAGAUAUUAGGAGGAACACCAGUGGCGAAGGCGGAUUGCUAGAC